CCUACGGGCGGCAGCAGUGGGGAAUAUUGGACAAUGGGGGGAACCCUGAUCCAGCCAUGCCGCGUGUGUGAAGAAGGCCCUCGGGUUGUAAAGCACUUUCAGUGAGGAAGAACGCCUGGUGGUUAAUACCCAUCAGGAAAGACAUCACUCACAGAAGAAGCACCGGCUAACUCCGUGCCAGCAGCCGCGGUAAUACGGAGGGUGCGAGCGUUAAUCGGAAUUACUGGGCGUAAAGCGCGCGUAGGUGGCUUGAUAAGCCGGUUGUGAAAGCCCCGGGCUCAACCUGGGAACGGCAUCCGGAACUGUCAAGCUAGAGUGCAGGAGAGGAAGGUAGAAUUCCCGGUGUAGCGGUGAAAUGCGUAGAGAUCGGGAGGAAUACCAGUGGCGAAGGCGGCCUUCUGGACUGUCACUGACACUGAGGUGCGAAAGCGUGGGUAGCAAACAGGAUUAGAUACCCUGGUAGUC
rnacentral:rRNA from 1 species